UACGUAGGGUGCGAGCGUUGUCCGGAAUUAUUGGGCGUAAAGGGCUCGUAGGCGGUUUGUCGCGUCGGGAGUGAAAUCCUACGGCUUAACUGUGGGCUUGCUUUCGAUACGGGCAGACUAGAGGUAUGCAGGGGAGAACGGAAUUCCUGGUGUAGCGGUGAAAUGCGCAGAUAUCAGGAGGAACACCGGUGGCGAAGGCGGUUCUCUGGGCAUUACCUGACGCUGAGGAGCGAAAGUGUGGGGAGCGAACAGG
rnacentral:rRNA from 1 species